UACGUAGGGUGCAAGCGUUAAUCGGAAUUACUGGGCGUAAAGCGUGCGCAGGCGGUUAGUGCAAGACCGAUGUGAAAUACCCCGGGCCUUAACCUGGGGAAUGGCAUUGGGUAGACUGUUACGGCUAGAGUGUGUCAGAGGGGGGUAGGAAUUCCACGUGUAGCAGUGAAAUGCGUAGAGAUGUGGAGGAAUACCGAUGGCGAAGGCAGCCCCCUGGGAUAACACUGACGCUCAUGCACGAAAGCGUGGGGAGCAAACAGG
rnacentral:rRNA from 1 species